CCUACGGGAGGCAGCAGUAGGGAAUAUUGCUCAAUGGGGGAAACCCUGAAGCAGCAACGCCGCGUGGAGGAUGAAGGUUUUCGGAUUGUAAACUCCUUUUGUUAGAGAAGAUAAUGACGGUAUCUAACGAAUAAGCACCGGCUAACUCCGUGCCAGCAGCCGCGGUAAUACGGAGGGUGCAAGCGUUAUUCGGAAUGACUGGGCGUAAAGAGCGCGUAGGCGGGCUAGCAAGUCAGAUGUGAAAUCCUAUGGCUUAACCAUAGAACUGCAUUUGAAACUGUUAUUCUAGAGUAUGGGAGAGGUAGGUGGAAUUCUUGGUGUAGGGGUAAAAUGCGUAGAGAUCAAGAGGAAUACUCAUUGCGAAGGCGACCUGCUAGAACAUAACUGACGCUGAUGCGCGAAAGCGUGGGGAGCAAACAGGAUUAGAUACCCUAGUAGUC
rnacentral:rRNA from 1 species